rnacentral:lncRNA from 15 species
AUGGAAGAAGAGGAUUUCAAAAGUAUGAUGGUCGAAUCAGAUGUUCGUGGCUACCUUUAUAAGCCGCAAUAUAGCGAGCAGCGACUGAGGCUUCUGCAGCCGAGGCAGAGGACCUGCCUGUCGCGGACGAGGAGCCCGGACUGGCUCGAGCUGGGGCGGACUGCUGGUGCCUGUGCUCAAGACCAUGCAUCUCUAACUGUGUGCUCAAUGUCUCGUAGACAAUAUCGCCUAACAGCCUUUCUGGAAUGGGUCCUGUAAGGCGAGAGAUUGGGUCGAGGCGUCGUUUUACCCGCUGAUGUGGUGCAGGCUCUCCGACAGUAUCCAGCUCCAGAUGGCCAGUACUGCGGGCACCGAGACGUUGAGGACGCUCAGGAGGAACUAUAACUGUCAUCGUUAACAUAUUUAUUGUUGUUGUUGUUGAUAUAUUUCUGUAAAUAAAUGGUUUACAUUCACGUUGUUGUAGUCCUUGAUAGUGUUAGUGGGAGCGGCUUGCGGAGCUGUGCAUUGUGGGAGUUGUUGUCUUUAAUACAAAUGCGCCCUAAAGUCACUUUCUGUCUUUUCUCGGUCAAAUAGGCACCAAAUUCAAAAUGUAUGUUACAUUUUGACUACAUAUAUAACCCACUUUCAAUGAAUAUUAAUGUUUCCACGGGUGAAAUGCUCCUUUAAGUAGCUCGGACCUACUUGCAACAGCUACUGAACACCCAGAGAGAGAAAGAAAUCAGAGGAUACUAAUGUUAGGUAUUAAGAACAGCCAGGUUAGAUUCAAUAUUAUAAAGACCAUUUUUAAACAGUUAUAACAAAUACUGCACUUUGUAACCUACAUGAAGGUAGGAUUUAUUACAGGACUAUAUUAGACUGAAUUAGUUUCAACCUAAAAUUGUAGCAACCAAAUACCCAGACAUUUUUGAAAGUCUUGACAAUUUAGUUUAAACAUGUCAAAUAAAAUAAAAACAUUUGUAUAUUACUUACCAUUUACUACAGAGCCUUUGGUACUGUGCUCAAAGCAAAGUGGAGAUUUAAACACCACCUAAUACCUAUCCAGAAAACAAAAACAUUUUAAAAUGAUUUUAUUAUUUCUACAAAAAAAGUUAAAAAUAAAAAUGAUAAAAAGGCAUUUGAAUAAUACUCAUCACAAUAUUUAAAAAAAAUCUCAAAUAAAUAAACUUGAUUUUAGAUACAUUUUCUUGCCAAUGUAAAUCUUGAGCAGCACAUCCAAGUUUUAAUUCCAACACAGAAAAUGUUUAAAAGAAUUACUAAACAUUUAACAUCAGGUAUAAGGACAUGGUAAUAAUUGCUCUAAUCAGAGUAAUGCACCUCCUUUACAUGGAUUUACAGGAGAUUAAGAUACUGAGGACGUUUGAGGAAUUAAGUCUAUGUAUUGUAAUAAUGCUGUAUAAAAGUUGCCCUCCAUAGCAUAACGUUAGCUAACGCUAACUCGGUGAAAAUAAUGUGUCUUAACAGGACAAUCUUUGACAAGAUUAAGUUAAGUUAGCUAGCGAGUGGUAACGUUAGUUAACUUGACAUUGACUAAUUCUUGUUGCUCGAUGUUACUGGCAGGUAAAAACCUCAGCUUAGUCAGAAUUGUGCGUCUAACACGACUACGUCUGUCUUUGACUAACAUAUGACAAAGUUUUAUUACCUUUACCAUGUGAAGAGCUGUCCAGAUAUGGAGAGAAUUCUGUUCCUUUAUUAUUCAAUCAAAUAGAAUAGAUUUGAAAUCAAAAAAGAGAUUUAAGAGCAAAAAAGAGUAAGUGGCAAUCAAAAGAUUUUUUUGAGAUCGAAACAGAACAAGUUGCAAUUGAAAAAAAAAAAUAUUAGAACAUAUUUCUUCAAUUUCAAUCAAAACUAAUGUUUGUAAGUAAAAACAUACGACCAUUUUGAUUAUAAAUCAGUCCUCUUUGCUUGCAAAUUCAACUGCACUUGAUGGGCGGGGCCUACGCUGGUGGACGAGAGAAGAGUUUCUAUUGGUUGGUUUGACCUGGCUAUGUAUUCCGCAUUACACCCACUUCUCUGCUGCGCUGCUUGGAGGAAGCCUGUUGCUCUUCAAACGUUGCCUAUAAGUAAUGAAUUGCGCUAUAUAUCGUUGGCUACAGCCUGCCGUACAUUCGCAACAACAACAACAACAACACAAGUAAUGAAUUAUAAUGCCCUGCUGCUGCUAGCACACUGAUUAGCAGCAACAUGGUUGUCUCUGCUAGUCACGGCCUGAGCAGAGUAUCCUAAUGAGUGAGUGAAUUACAGGGAGGCGUAUACAACGUAGGACUGUGAUUUAAACAUUUAGUGUUGCAUGGUACUCGCGGUGCCAAAACGUCACGGUUCCUACACAACAGUACUACCGUGGAUUACUAAACUACCGCUGAACGCGGUGCCAGUUUCCACUGUAGCGGGCUGCUGCUACUCCUCCCGGCUCCCGUUCUCUACAGCUGUUCUAAUGUCAACAAACACCCGUGGUGAAUAAUUAAAAUCACAGGACAUGUCUUUUGAUCUGAUUAUACAGAUCAAUGGCGCUGAAAUUUGCGUAUCUCUUCUAUAGCCUACACAUUGUACAUCUCUGAGGUCAGAAGCAUCAUUCGGUGUCAUUUAAGUCGGACCGUCUGACGCAGCUGCUCCUGUAUAGACCAGUAAUGCUGGCUGGUUAGAAAUAUGUGCGUGAAUUUGUUAAAUUAUUAACUUGACAACAACAAUUAACAACAACAAUGUACUACAAAGAAAAACACUCCUAUCAUACCAGCGGUGACAGAGGAUGUUAAACCAGUUAUUCCUCAAGCCAUCAUCACCUGACAGUUCCAAAAACAAACAACUGAUUUUAUAAAUGUAUUAGUCUGUGUUUGUUCUAAACCCGACCCACUCUGUGUGCACAAUAUAGUGUCUAUGGAACUCUAUGGCGAGAUAUGUACAAUUUGGAAAUUUGCCAUUUGACAAAAUGUCCUAUGCAAAGGUAAUGGGCAAUGGCAAGCUUCCUGUGUAGGAAUGCCAACAAACAAAUGCGUUUUCUUCAGUUAAUUUAGCCAACAGUUUUGUGCCACCUGAUUGUAUUUCUCUGAUCGUUUAAAGGGUUCACUAACUUUUGGCACAACAAAACUUUACAAAAAAGUAUUUUUAAUUUAGUCUUCAACUCAAUUUUGUAAUGAACACAAUUAUUUUCCUCAAAAAGGUACACAGAAUUAAUAGAUCAGUCAGGAUUUACAGUACAUUACAGCACAGAGACAGCACUGGUGAAAGUCACUUAAAAUCCUUUAAUUGCAUUAGACUUAUUAGAUUAUUAAUCCUUUAAUAAAUGCUUGUGUUUUUACAUGCUGGCCUAUUUAAUGCUGUACAAGAGUGGGUGAUACCAACCUCUUCUAUGCAGAACUCGGUAACACUUUAUAAUGAGUACACACUAUUAAGCAUUAGUUAAGCAUGAAUAAAUACUGAAUUCAUCACUUCUUCUCCCUUCCUGCUCGGUAGAGGGACAAGACAGGGCUGCCCGCUCUUCCCCCUCCUUUUUGCCCUCACUUUAGAGCCACUGGCGGAACGCAUUAGGAAUAGUAAGGAAAUACACAGCAUUACUUUAGGCAAGACCACUCACAAGAUAGCAUUAUAAGCUGAUGACGUUUUACUUUUUCUUUCCAAGCCUG